rnacentral:lncRNA from 1 species
CGGUGAUUUUACUCUUAAAAUGUCUCUUUGCCGCAUGUGUGGUGGGCCCAUUGAUUUCCCGGAUGCACACGAGCAGUGUGAGCUGUGCCUGGGUCGGGUUCAUGCAGAGGCGGCAUUCGAAGGAUCGGGAUGUCGUGCCUGUGAGGAGCUUCCCAUCAAGAUCCUUCGUGCAAGGCUGGCCGUUACCCGUAACAGUGGCCCUGUAUCUCCUGCCUCUCCCCCGUCCGCCGCCGUCGAGCCGCGAACCGGGAGACCGCAGAGAGCUCCGUCGACGGAUUCUGUCGAGGUACUGGCAUCGGCCCAACGCCCACGCCACCCUCACGUGGAAGAUCCCCUCUCAUACUCUGAGGCCAGUUACCGCCCUCCACUAGAAGCGCGGGAAAUGGUCUCGUUUGGAUAUGACGAGGACGACGCCAUGUCUACUAAUGCCUCAGACCCGGGAGCGUGGUCCGAGGCCCCGUCUGAAGCUGCCCCCGCCUCGCUGGAUGCCGAGUUUAUGGCGAUCCUCACGGAGGUGGUGGCAGAUAUGGAAUUGGAGUGGACAGCCCCCAAGGAGCUGCCGUCUAAGAGAUGGAUGGACGGUUCUUUCCUCUGCGCGGGCCGCCAGGCUGAAGCCCCGCAGAGACCCGCGCCUUUUUUCUCUGAGGUCCACGAGGAACUCACCCGGUCAUGGCGCUCCCCUUACUCAGCCCGAGCCCAUGCACAGGGGACCCAGCUGCUGACGACGGUGGAAGGGGCAGAGAAAUUAGGAUACGCGCAACCGCGUCCCCUCGAGGAUGCUAUCGCGGCCCACCUGGCGUCUUCUCCCGGCUGGAAAACUGCUCUUUGCCUUCUAAGCCAUGUCGAGCUACUGCUUACAUCGCCGAGAAGGCGUACAUAUCUGCUGGACAUGCAGCAUCUGCCCUCCACACGAUGGCAAUCCUGCAGGUCUUCCAAACUCGGCUCCUUGGGUCCCUGGAUGAGGGAAGCCCGGACCCAGAGUCGCUCAGGAAGCUGCGCACGGCGGCGGAUCUCGCUCUCAC